AAUCUGAUGUACACCGGCAAACUGGCGACACAACUUAUCGACCCAGCUCGCCUGGAGCAGGGCGUCAAGUUCCUCCACGCUUACCCUCUUAUUCAGGAGGCAAGUCUGUCUAACCAUGCAACUCAGACACACCCUGAGGUCAACCUUCCCCUUUCGUCCUCUCUCUAUGGCAUUCAGAUAUCAGACCAACAGGCCACACUCACAAACCGCCUCUCAGCGAGAACGCAUCUCUCCCCGCCGUUCGACUUAGAAGGUGGGGUUUAAUCGACGGGAAGGGCGUAACCACGAACAAAGCUACCUCACUGACGCGGCCUGGAUCUAAGCACAGGCACAAUCUGACAGAAGCGGAGGUAGAGGCAUCUGCGAGCAUCAGUCAGUUUGUGAGGGAAGGGUCAGAGAUGGAAACAUCUGCAGGUGAGGCUCCGUCAUGUUCCGAAACACCAACACCAUUCUGCAUGUGAAGCCCAGCAUCAUGAGAAGAAACACCUCUCUGAGGAAGCAUUAUACGUGCCACGUCUGCGGGGGGCGCUUCACUCAGCGAGGAACCUUACGAGAGCACCUGCUUCUACACACUCAGGCCAUGCUCCCCUUGUGUUAGAGUCCGCCGGUGCGGCUUCCCCAUGGCGACUGGAGGUGCCGCCACACCCAGAGGUGGAGGAAGUUCUCCGAAGCAGCGAAGCCUCCGCAGCCACUCCCAUCAUUGUGGAACGCUGCCAGUGACAGCGAGCAGCAUCUGUACUUAAAAGACUCGCCACAUCCUGAAACCGCCAUGCCCAUCCCGACGACAACUGCAAUCAGCCUGUACACGGCGCAGCCCCAGGCGGACACACCCCCUCCAUCCGAUAUCGCUGAUAUUGACAACCUAGAGGGUGCGGCUGACAUGGAGCGGGAAGUGAAGCGGAGGAAAUACGAGUGCUCUACUUGUGGCCGCAAGUUCAUCCAGAAAAGCCACUGGAGAGAGCACAUGUACAUCCACACAGGCAAGCCGUACCGCUGCAGCGCCUGCGGAAAGAGCUUCUGCCGGGCCAACCAGGCGGCACGGCACGUUUGCAUGAAUCUGAGCUCGGAGCCAGCGUACACCAUGGUGGACCGACAGAGCAUGGAGCUGUGCGGGGCAGAUGACUCCAGCCAAAUGGAGGCGCUGUUUCUGGGCUCGUCGGUGAGACCGUACAAAUGCAAUGUGUGUGAAAUGACCUUCUCCAGCCCCAAUGAGGUGAUCAAGCACCUGUGCUUCAACCAGGGGGCGCUCUCGGGUGGGGUGGCUGGAGAAAUGGGCGUCAGUGGGCUGAACAGUGACAACCUGGCCAAAGACGAAGGCUCGGAUUCAUCCAAUGGGGGGCCGUUGACAACACCCAUCAAAACAGAGGAAGUCUUUGUGGAGUAGCUCCAUAUUCAUCCACUUCAAAACAUAGUUUGUUUUUUAAUGUAUUGCAUUUGAAUUGUGGGUAAAUUAUGAUCAGUCAAAGUCAAGCUACAGAUCGAAAUUUCUGUUCUAUAUUGUAUUUUUAUGUAUUUUUUUCUGGGGAUUUUACUGUUGCUGAAAAAUACUGCUUCCUACUGUGUUAUUAUUUUUUUAACAUCAAUUUGGUUUGUAUAUUUAUAACAGAUUUACUGUAUGUUUAGUCCAACAAGUCAAAUUCCUGCUUCAUUCUGUAUUUCUUUCAAGGGUUUUGUUGGUUACUCGGGUCAUUUGCAGUUUUUGUUGCGGUUAUAGCUCUUCCUCUGUCUAACUGUACAGGAAAAGGAUGUAGUGAACUGCUGGAAUCCUGCGUUCGUCUCAGUGCAGAUCAGUCUAGACUUCACGUUUGGUUGGAUUGGAACUCGAUAUAAUACAAAAAAAGGUAAUCCUCAAAAUCAUUAGUUCAUGAGCAUAGCCUAGCCACCAACAUUUAUUUUGUAUGUCGCCUCCAUGAAAAAUUAGAUCUGAGGAGCUGAGUGUGGAUGUUGGUUUAUGAAAGGUUUUCACUACCUCAACCGGUUUUGGACAUGCAAUAUUGAAAUUUGCAUCAAAGGUUCGAGGAUCAAAGUCAACUUUAUCUUCCAGUGCCUCUGAGGAGUUACACAGAUCUCAAAGUUUUCGUAUUACAUGCUUUGAGUUAGCAAGUGCAAGGUGCAGUUGUAGAUAACCUUCAUUCAGUGCCAGAUUACUUGUCAAACAUCAUUUAUAUUAGAGUUAAUGUGACCCACGAUAUAUUUCACAUUUGUUCACGUUCACUACAGUACUUUUUUUGUGCCAAUACCAGCUAAAUGAUAAACAUCCAUGCCGUAAAAUUGUUUGCCGGCAACAGCAGCUCAUCAGUAAUCUGGUUGUGUUGCUCUCACUGUGGUUCAACAUGUUUACAGUUGUGCUGUGUGUGAAUUUAGAAAACACUGUGGCCAAUCGUACACCUGUACAUCAUGUAGCUUGAAGGGAAAUAUUUCUGUCACUGUUCCCAGAUUGAAUUUUGCCAUGAAAUUGAUUUGCUCGAGUAUGCUCCUAAUUUCCUUAUUUUCGAGCCUUGUAUAACUUUUUUAAUUUUAUGUACAGUGCUUUAUUUACAAAGAAUUUUAUAAUCUCACAGGUUGUAUAUUAUUCAAUGCAUUUACUGUAGAAUAUUAUCCAUUUUAGUGUUGCACACUAAAAUGUUUAGUGUUUGUCCUCUCUGCACUGACAGUGUGGUCAUGCUGUUAAAGCACUGAUAUCUACUCAAGAUCCCUGACUACUCUGAUUAUACUUGUGCGACGUCAGGAAACUUCUUUUUUUAACCAUUUUAAACCAGGGCAAUUUACAAUCAAUGCUAAAUAUUUCUUCCAUCUUUCUCCUUGUAAAGACCUCCUAGGAAUAUAUUUUAGCACUGUGAGUUAAGUUACUACUGAAUAGCUAAUUAGAGGCCAGGAAGGACCAUUUGCUUUAUUUUGUUACAAAUAAAUGUAAGUGUGAUGUUAAGGGACAGGAGGCCUUGUCCAAAUUAUGUGUAAUCCUACAUGCAAUGGAAUGCCUUUUUUCUGUAGUCUUGUUACAACUUUUUAUUAUUUGUGCAUAUGCAAGUUGUUAUCCAUUGAGGCAGUUAUAGGGAGGGGAGGAGAGGGGUUAAGGUGCCCCCUCAAACGCACAAACCCCAAAGCCAAGGCAAGUAUACUGUGAUCAAUUGCUCCUCAGGAACUUGAACAGUUGUCUCUGGAAAAAAAAUCCUUCCUUUGCAUUUUCAUUGUGAAUAAUGAUAAUAAAUACUUAUGUUUUUGAAGUGUG